rnacentral:lncRNA from 1 species
AACCCGCCGCACCAGAGCUCGCCGGAGCAACGGCGACAGCCACUCAUCCCUCGGUUCUCACCUCUUCUCUCUCUAUCUCGCCGGAAAAACAGAGCCACGCUCCGCCUCCGCUGUGCGCUGUCGUCGCCGCUUGCUCGCCUCCUUCUCCGGCCCCUUGCUCGGAAUAGGGCAGCAGAGGCUACCCCCACCGUCGCAUCCAUCUUCGCCGCCCACAACCACCGCCGGACUCACGGGGAAGAGCCGAGCGUCGCCGCUCCCGUCGUUCGUCUUGCUGGAAUCGCGGUGGAGGCCGAGCCUUGCCUCGCCGGGAAGGUAGGCUCCAGAUCUGAGCUCCCCCUCUUUUUCUCUUUUCCGGCCGACCAGGAACAGCUCGGUGCUCCCGCUGCCGUGUCGCCGCUGCCGAUGCCGCCGCAUCGUCGUCACCGGAGAAGAUAAGUUCUCCCUCCUAUCUCUCUCUCUCCCUCCCCUGUUCUCCCUUCUCUUUUUUUUGUUAUAAUCUAAUCUCUCCCCCUUUCCCUUCUCUCUCGUUUUGGCAGAACAGGGACUGGACGACAGUUGCCGCCGCGCCGCCGUUGCCGGCGCCGAACAGCCGUCUGCUGCUCCCUCCUUCCCCUCUCACGAUUCGAACAACACACACGCAAGCAAAACACAAGGAACUCUCCAAAUUUUUCAGUCCAGAUUCAAAAUAUAGAACAAGUUAGGGUUUUAAAAAUCUGUUCUUUCAAUCAUUCAUUUCCUUUUUAUUAAAACUGAUUGUACAUGUAAUAGAUUAGAGAAUAUAGUAAAAUGUGUGCGUGUGUAUUAUUCUGUUGGUGGUUCUCUGAUGGUAAUAAGCUGAUGUAAUUGAAACAAUAAUAGUCUAAAAGAAGUGGUAAUGGAUGCGUGUGUUCGAUCUGUUUUCAUUUGAAUCAUAGUUUUGUAAUUUAACAAAUGAAUGUAUGGAGAAAGUAAAGUAGGAGGUAACCUUGAUAUGAGUAGGAAAUGAGGAAAAUCUUCUUUCUGAAUUCACCAAAAUUGGAUCUGCGAAUUUAUUCAGCCAAGCUUAACAAUGAAAUUUUGGAUCUGAAAACUAUGAAAGAAUUGGAAGAAUUAAUGGACGUUUAUUACCUCUUUCUUGUUUUGGGAAAUCUUGGAAACUGAUUUGGAAAGCUG